CCCUACGGGGUGCAGCAGGCGCGAAACCUCCGCAAUGCGCGAAAGCGCGACGGGGGGACUCCGAGUGCCCACGCCCUGCGUGGGCUUCUCCGGAGUGUAAACAGCUCCGGGAAUAAGGGCUGGGCAAGACCGGUGCCAGCCGCCGCGGUA
rnacentral:rRNA from 1 species